UAGUCUGGGAACUGCUGAUGAGGGGGAGUAACUAACUGGAACGGUAAGCUAUACCGCAUAAUGUCGCAAGACCAAAGUGGGGGACCUUCGGGCCUCAUGCCAUCAGAUGUGCCCAGAUGGGAUUAGCUAGUAGGUGGGGUAAUGGCUCACCUAGGCGACGAUCCCUAGCUGGUCUGAGAGGAUGACCAGCCACACUGGAACUGAGACACGGUCCAG
rnacentral:rRNA from 1 species